rnacentral:rRNA from 1 species
CCUACGGGUGGCUGCAGUGGGGAAUAUUGGACAAUGGGGGGAACCCUGAUCCAGCCAUGCCGCGUGUGUGAAGAAGGCCCUCGGGUUGUAAAGCACUUUCAGUGAGGAAGAACGCCUGGUGGUUAAUACCCAUCAGGAAAGACAUCACUCACAGAAGAAGCACCGGCUAACUCCGUGCCAGCAGCCGCGGUAAUACGGAGGGUGCGAGCGUUAAUCGGAAUUACUGGGCGUAAAGCGCGCGUAGGUGGCUUGAUAAGCCGGUUGUGAAAGCCCCGGGCUCAACCUGGGAACGGCAUCCGGAACUGUCAAGCUAGAGUGCAGGAGAGGAAGGUAGAAUUCCCGGUGUAGCGGUGAAAUGCGUAGAGAUCGGGAGGAAUACCAGUGGCGAAGGCGGCCUUCUGGACUGACACUGACAAUGAGGUGCGAAAGCGUGGGUAGCAAACAGGAUUAGAUACCCUAGUAGUC